GGGGAUGUAGCUCAAUCGGGAGAGCGCCUGCCUUGCACGCAGGAGGUUGCGGGUUCGAAGCCGGCCAUUUCCACCA
rnacentral:tRNA from 1 species